rnacentral:pre_miRNA from 1 species
UAACAUCUUCAGGCUGGCUGGCACCCAGGCUGGGCUGAGCGAGUAUCUCUUCAAAAGGUUCACCCUCUUGCACGAAUAGGAGC